rnacentral:rRNA from 1 species
CAGCAGCCGCGGUAAUUCCAGCUCCAAUAGCGUAUAUUAAAGUUGUUGCAGUUAAAAAGCUCGUAGUUGAAUUUCGGGGUCAGUAGGUUGGUCAUGCCUCCGGUAUGUACUGGUCUCACUGAUUCCUCCUUCCUGAUGAGCCGUAAUGCCAUUAAUUUGGUGUUGCGGGGAAUCUGGACUGUUACUUUGAAAAAAUUAGAGUGUUUAAAGCAAGCUAACGCUUGAAUACAUUAGCAUGGAAUAAUGGAAUAGGACGUUCGAUCCUAUUUUGUUGGUUUCUAGGAUUGACGUAAUGAUUAAUAGGGAUAGUUGGGGGCAUUAGUAUUCAAUUGUCAGAGGUGAAAUUCUUGGAUUUAUUGAAGACUAACUACUGCGAAAGCAUUUGCCAAGGAUGUUUUCAUUAAUCAAGAACGAAAGUUAGGGGAUCGAAGACGAUCAGAUACCGUCGUAGUCUUAACCAUAAACUAUGCCGACUAGGGAUCGGAUGAUGUUAAUUUUUUAAUGACUCAUUCGGCGCCUUACG